CAGCAACUCAUCAUGCCCCUCAUGGAGGGAAAACAGUAUGAAUUGGCUGCAUCUCUGGCGGAGAAGUACUACGACUUUGAGAUUCUGAUUCAGCUGUGUGAGGUGUCGGACAACACAGACAGGAUAGAGAAAUACCUGAGACAGUUCUCGGACAAAGGUUUUGCCAACUAUCUCUACACCUGGUAUAUGAAGGAAGGAAAAAGAGGAAAGCUGCUUGCUCUGCCAAUAAGUCAGCAGAGGGAGCUAGGGAAGUUUCUACAGAAAGAAGAUAUCAAAACCCUGAGUUGGCUCCACAACAUACAGACAGACAACUUCUCUAAGGCUCAUCUCACUCUAUUGGAGCUGGCCAGAAUGGAGCAAGGCUCUCUAUCCAAAAAGAAGACACUGUUAAGUCUGAGUAAAUUGGCAGGGCUGGCAGCUGAUCCUGAUAAUGGAGAUAUUGACAGCAAUAUAUUGGACAUCAAUGAAGAGCAGGAAUUAAUCGCCCACCAGCAGCAGUUACCCGCCCUUGUCAUAGAGAACCUGAAGAUGGAACCUGACAAUAUGGCAGUUCUCUCCCCUGUCCAGUUGAUUGAGUUGUACAUCUCUGGAACAAACAUAGAUGCAACAGAAUAUGAUUUCAAGAAAGCUUUGGAUCUCCUUCGGUAUAUAGACAAGACUGACCAGACAGUGGACUAUGAGAGUCUGAGGAUGCACAUCUGGGCCCAGUCCAUACUCAGAGACAGCUGGCAGCAGGAUGAUUCAGUAGAUGUCAUGGAAGCUAUCAUGAACACAGUAUUCUUCAAAACAGUGGACCUAGCUUACAAAGAAGGAGUUGAUGUAAAGACAUUUAUGCCAGGACUAAAGAGCAUAUUGAAUUGUGAAGAACUUGGUGACUUGAAAGAUUCUGCCAGUUUUCAGUAUUUGAUCCAAGCUGGUUAUGAACACAUAGGACAGGUGCUGUGAAAUGUGCAAGGAAAGGUUGAAAGUGAAAGUUUUGAUUGGAGUAACAGAAGCUGUGAUUGGUUGUUAGUGACAGUAGCUACGAUUGGUUGACAGUGAUAGAAGUUAUGAUUCAAUGACAGUUACAGAGGCCAUGAUUGGUUGUUAGUGACAGUAGCUACGAUUGGUUGACAGUGAUAGAAGUUAUGAUUCAAUGACAGUUACAGAGGCCAUGAUUGGUUGUUAGUGACAGUAGCUAUGAAUUAUGUAUCAGAAGAAAUGCUGGAUGAUACUUAAUUGUAUUCCAGAUCUGAGUCUGUCGUAAGAAAGAGAACCUCUUGUCUCCAUCUCAUCAAAGAGUUUAUUGCCAUCUAUGUUGUCUCCGAGUAUGUAAGGAGUAUGACCCACACAAAAAUCAUACCUGUUUUUUGUAUAAAAUGUUGUGAAAUAAAAUGUUAUAUGAUC
rnacentral:misc_RNA from 1 species